GAUGAACGCUGGCGGCGUGCCUAAUACAUGCAAGUCGAGCGAACUUUUGGGAGCUUGCUCCCAAAAGUUAGCGGCGGACGGGUGAGUAACACGUGGGUAACCUGCCUGUAAGACUGGGAUAACUUCGGGAAACCGGAGCUAAUACCGGAUAACAUUGAAGACCACAGGGCCUUCAAUUAAAAGGUGGCUUUUAGCUACCACUUACAGAUGGACCCGCGGCGCAUUAGCUAGUUGGUGAGGUAACGGCUCACCAAGGCGACGAUGCGUAGCCGACCUGAGAGGGUGAUCGGCCACACUGGGACUGGGACCCCGCCCAGGCCCCUACGGGGGGCAGCAGUAGGGGAUCUUCCGCCAUGGACGAAAGUCUGACGGCGCCCCGCCGCGUGAGCGGAGAAGGCCUUCGGGUCGUAAAGCUCUGUUGUUAGGGAAGAACAAGUAUCGUUCGAAUAGGGCGGUACCUUGACGGUACCUAACCAGAAAGCCACGGCUAACUACGUG
rnacentral:rRNA from 1 species